GCCUCUAUAGCUCAGUUGGUAGAGCAUUCGCCUAGAUAGCGAAAGGCCCCCAGUUGAAGCCUAGGUGGAGGCA
rfam:Phlebotomus papatasi Contig3579.1, whole genome shotgun sequence.